rnacentral:lncRNA from 1 species
UUUCAACUUGUAGAAAAUACUGAUGCUUUUGAGAGAUGAAAUCCCAGUGAGCAUCUCUUUCCUAGCGGAGGUCAUCCCUCUGCCUCCCUCCUCCUCCACCUGUUCACUGACUGGCAGGCACACGCUGAGACCUGUUUAUUAAGAAACAGUAUCAGAGAAGGCUUUCGGCACAGUCUGUCCGAGUGAUCUCAGCCCUUGGAUCAGCAGGCAGCAGCUGUACGUUGAUUGGAGUAAGAACCUCUUCGUCACCGCCCUGUUUAUCUCGCUGGUUCUGCAGCUGCUGCGUUUCGGAGCCUGUUGUGCUGGAGGGCAGGGCAGGAGGAAAUACUGAAUAUACUGCAGUGACAUACACAAAGCCUUCAUGGAACCAGUAAAAGGGAGGAAUAAGCCAGACAAAGAUGGCAGUUUCCUUAGAAAAAGGUGCGUGGGUGCUGAAAGCAGUUAUUUGUUCUGAAAACAUUUAUUGAACACCGACUCUGGGCUCCAGGCCAGUUGACAGCAGAGUGACUGACGCAUUACAGAGCCUACCCACUUUCAAGUUCUACAAAUGUGUGUCAUUUAGAAGGUACUGCCGUGUCCUGGAUUAAUCUCAGUACAUUUAUGCCCGGGACGCAGCCUCCUCCACCGUGGCUAGCAAGCGUCCUCUCCUCUUUGGCAUUCAUGGAUGAGCUGUGAGAAGCUCUUUGCCAGCUCAUUUGACUUGAACCUGAGGAGGAACUGUGUACACUUAACAACAUUUCUAACUCUGUGAUAAAUUCGCCAAAUUAUAGUAUGUGCCUUCCUCCACAUAGAAUGCAUUAGAAAUGUGUUUUGCCUACGUGGAAUGGCUCUUAACAGGUCAGUCUGAAGAUAAAGCCCAGCUUCCUCCCGCCUCUCCUGUCUCUAGAGGAUCUGCUGAGUGUGCAGAUGGGGUGCAUAGAGAUGGGAGAGGAGAGGUGGCCUCCAGGUGGCCUCCAGGUAGCCUCCACCCACUAACUGGGGACGCCCCUCGAACCUGGAUGGAACAAAAACAGGUAUCAACACACAUUUGUUACAUGGAAAACUGCUGAAGGCAAACUCCGACUCCGGCCUUCAAACCUUAGAGAAUCAAGGUCUUGAGCAAUCUAGAGUGACCCCAGCACCUUGACGGAAGGAAGCACCCUCAUCUUCACCUUUGUGAGGUACGUCGCUGCCCCGGUCUUCCUUGUAACUGUCCCCUGGCCACUGGGAUCUCAGCGGACUCAUUCCCAGGGCCUUGUUUUCAAGUCUUCCUUGACCAAAGGGUGGUUGUAGGAUUAAAUGAACUGUGGCUCAGCAAAAUACCUGACAGCAGGCGUGCAAUGCAUUUUUCUUCUCUCCCUCCACACGUACAAGAGGAGAAAAUGAAAAGGAAGUGCUGCGGAGGAUUUUUAGGGCAAGGAAAUUAUGAUCCUAGAAUGCUGGACACAUGGCGUCGUAUAUCUGUCCAAACCCAUAGAAUGUGCAUGUGAACCGUAACAUAACUGUGGCUGUGGGGAUGAUAAUGUGGCGAUGUAGCUUGAUCCAUUGUCACAAAUGUACCACUCUGGUGGGGGGUGUUGGUAGUGGAGGAGGCUGUGCCUGAGUGUAGGAGAGGUGGUACAUGGGCAUUCUCUGUACCUUUUAAUUUUGCUGUGAACCUAAAGUGGUUCUAAGAAAAUAAAGUCAAUGCUGGACACGUUGGCUCAUAUCUGUAAUCCCAGCUGUAUUCAUUUUCAUGCUGCUGAUGAACACAUAUCCGAGACUGGGAAAUUUACUAGAGAAAUUUAAUUGGACUUAGAGUUCCAUGUGGUUGGGGAAGCCUCACAAUCAUGGUGGAAGACAAGGAGGAGCAAGUCCUGUCUGACAUGGAUGGCAGCAGGCAAAAAGAGAGCUUGUGCAGGGGAACUCCCCUUUUUAAAACCAUCAGAUCUUGUGAGAUCCAUUCGCCAUCACAAGAACAGCACAAGAAAGACCCGACCCCAUGAUUCAAUCACCUCCCACCUGGCCCCCCCCCGCCCCAACACGUGGGAAUUGUGAGAGUUACAAGAUGAAAUUUGAGUGGGGACACAGAACCAAACUAUAUCAUCAGCACUUUGGGAGACCAAGGCAGGAGGAUAGCUUGAGGCCAGGAGUUCAAGAGUGGCCUGGGCAAUAAAGUGUGACCUCCAACCUGGGCAAUGUGGUGAGACCCCAUCUGUUACAAAAAAUAAAAAUUAGCUAGGCGUGGUGGCACACACCUGUGGUCUCAGCUACUUGGGAGGCUGAGGUGGGAGGAUCACUUGAGCCCAGGAGGUCGAGACUGCAGUGAGCCAUGUUUGUGCCAUUGCACUCCAGCCUGGGUGACAGAGCAAGACCCUGCUUCAGAAAAAAGAAAGUCUUUUUCAAAAAUGCCAAGUGCUCCUCACGUGAUACUAGGGAACCCAGUCCUGGUCAGGAGGGUAGCUUCCAUCCUCUCUCCGAUGAGGGACUGGCACCAGCAGGCCCCGUCCUCUGAAGAGCCAUCCCUAAGGCUCCUGAGCCACUUUUUACCUGCUCCUGUGACUGUCACCCAGGACCAACAGGCUCCAGGAUGUGCCACAGGAAGGUGUGUCCAGGUCAUCCUGGAGACAGCAGAGUCCCAGGGAGGUUCAGGGCUUGCCACUGGAAGUGGUAACCUGUGCAGGCCCUGGGGCAGGACUGAGGUGUGGGCACAGUGACUCAGACUGCUCAGGUGACAGGCUUCAGGUCCUGCCCUUGCCCAGGACUCCUAGGCAGCCCCAAUAGAGCAAGUUAAUUGCAAUUUAGCCUGGAGGGAUUGCAAAAUCCUGCUGCGAUGGGCAAGGCCCUUGCAAUCUGCGAUGAACAAUUGAUGUUAACUGAACUGGAAGAGGGACAAUCGGAGUGUAUUCGGGAGACAUGAGCCAGUAGGUCUUCCAAAUCAGGGGACCCUUCCCAGCAUUCAUCCCUGAAACAAGCAGUCCUGCUCAGCACAGCCCCGUAAGAGCCGCAUUCUUACGCUCCUCAUUUUGUAGGUGGAGAGACAGACUCAGAGUCAGUAAGUACCUUGGCCAGGCUCACCAGUUCAUAAAGGGGUGGCAGAAGGGUGUAACCUCCAUCACCCCAGGCUGUCCCCCGCCCCAGGACUAACCCCUUUUCAUCCUAAAGAUGUGAUGGGGACUAUGUUUGAUUUUUGUUUUUAAUAAUUGAAUUUCUUCUUCGUGUUAUUUAGUCCAUUUUGGCAUGUAGUGUACCUUUGUGCCAACUGCAGUGUAAUUCAUGAGUUAGAGGAGAGAUAUAGAAAAUGCUGCGGGAAAACACCAUCAGAUGUGUUCAUUCAGCCAUUCGUUCCACAAGCUUCAGUGGUGAAGGCUCUGUGCUAGGGGCUGGGAAUACAGGUGUGAAAAGACAUGGUCCCAGUCCUCAAGAGCUCACCAUUUAGCUAACUGUGUCACUAAAGUUGGAAAAACAAAGCCAUGUGCCUCCUUUGGAUAGUCACAAUUUUAUGUAUCCAAAUUCAAAAGGACGCUCUCAGCCUUAAGAGGGUUUUCAAGCCAAGGAAUGCUCAUUUGGUGUCCAAGGGCAGUGAAACCUCUGUGCGUGGAUGCACGGGUGUGAAAGCUCGGAGUUUAGAAGAAGCUUGUGCCCGAGUACAUUUUUAUCCUCACAGUGAAGUUCAGGAAUGAUGACUUUGAACCCCUUUGCUGGGGUUUGACUUUUGUGUUUUGUCUUUUGAGUUUUGCUUCAUGGACCUUGGAUUUUAGAACUGAAAGGAAGCUUAGAAAUUUCACCAGAGAGGUGCAAAACAAGGCAAUGAUUUGAUGCAGAACAACCGCAGACAGAAGAAAAGGGGUGGGUGGCAUCUUGUGACCUCUCCCUGGGCUGGGGUCUUCUUCUGGCUCGUUGCUGAGGGGUGCCAGGCAGCAAAGACCACUUGGCUGCAACUCUACUGACUGUGACACUAUGUGAGUCUUGAGUUUCGGGAACCCCAGUCCCUGCAUUUUUCAUUCCUAGUGUUUGACCAGGAUGGUGGGAAGAGGUUAUGGUAACCAAAGAGGCUACCUGAUAUGUAUGUCUCGUUAUCAUUACUAAUCCUUUAUUGCGCUAGAUGUUUUAGAAGUAUUUUCUAGACCCGGUGCAGUGGCUCACACCUGUAAUCCCAGCACUUUGGGAGGCUGAGGCGGGCGGAUCACGAGGUCAAGAGAUGAAGACCAUCCUGGCCAACAUGGUGAAACCCCAUCUCUACUAAAAAUACAAAAAUUAGCUGGGCAUGGUGGUGCGUGCCUGUAAUCCCACCUACUCAGGAGGCUAAGGCAGGAGAAUUAUGUGAACCGAGGAGGCAGAGGUUGCGGUGAGCUGAGAUCACACCACUGCACUCCAGCCUGGUGACAGAGCAACCCUCCAUCUUAAAAAAAAAAAAAAAAAGAGAAAUAUUUUCUAAUUUGUUUUCAGAGCAAUGUAUAGGUAAUUAUGAUUACUCUGAUUCUGGGUAUGAAAAAAAAUGGGACUCUGGUUGAUUGACAUUUUCUCAAGGUUACACAGCUGGCAAACAGCCAGGUCAGGACUGGAGCCCACACCUGCGUGACUCUAAAGUGCCCACUCUUCUGUGCUGCAAGAGCCUCCCAACUAUUCCUUAGGGUCAUUAUGUGAACAUGUUGUGGGGGAAAGCACAACGUAUUCAUCAUUCAGGGCUUAGUUCAGCAGCCACCCGCUUCCCUGACACCCUGGUCUGGGCUGGAUGUCCCUCUUCUGCACUCCUGGAGUGCUGGGUGCAUGCUUAUCCCAGGAGCAGCUUUCCCCGCUCUGUAUCCCAACACCUGCUACUGUCUGUCCCC